rnacentral:snRNA from 1 species
GUGCUCUCUUCGGCAGCACAUAUGCUAAAAAAUUGGAAUGAUACAGAGGUUAGCAUGGCCUCUGCACAAGGAUGACAUGCAAAUUCAUGAAGUGUUCCAUAUUUUU